rnacentral:rRNA from 1 species
UAUUUUAUUUUGAUAUUAUUUUUUAUUGUUGAAAAAAUUAAUAAUAAUUUAUUGUUAAUAAAAAUUAAAAUUUAUAAUAUUUUUAUUUUUAUUUUUUAGUUUUAAAUAAAAAAAAUAAAAUUUAUAUAUAUAAAAAUUUUGUUAUAAAUUAUAAUAGUUUAUUUAUUUGUUUUUUAUAAUAAAUAAUAGUAUUUUUUUUUAUUAUUUUAUAAAAAAAAAUAAUUUAAUUAUAAUUAUUAAAAGUAAUUUUGUUAUUUAGAAUAAUAUAUUAAUAUAAAUAACAAAAAUAUUAAAUAUUUUUUAAAUUUUUUGGGGAUUUAAGUUAUAAUUUUUUGUGUCUGCUCAGUGAAUUUAAAUAGCACUUUUAGCGUGAUUGUCCAAAGGUAA